GACGAACGCUGGCGGCAUGCCUACUACAUGCAAGUCGAGCGAACAGAUGAAGUGCUUGCACUUCUGACGAUAGCGGCGAACGGGUGAGUAACACGUAAGGAGUCUACCUAUAAGCGGGGGAUAACACUCGGACACGGGUGCUAAUACCGCAAAAUAUCUUCUUCCGCACUGAAGAAGAUUGAAAGACGGCUCUGCUGUCACUUAUAGGUGCCCUUGCGGUGCAUUAGUUAGUUGGUGGGGUAAUGGCCUACCAAGACGAUGAUGCAUAGCCGACCUGAGAGGGUGAUCGGCCACAUUGGGACUGAGACACGGCCCAAACUCCUACGGGAGGCAGCAGUAGGGAAUCUUCCGCAAUGGGCGAAAGCCUGACGGAGCAAUGCCGCGUGAGUGAAGAAGGCCUUCGGGUCGUAAAACUCUGUUAUAAGAGAAGAACAAAUUGUAGAGUAACUGCUACAGUCUUGACGGUAUCUUAUCAGAAAGCCACGGCUAACUACGUGCCAGCAGCCGCAGUAA
rnacentral:rRNA from 1 species